UCGAUUUCAAACGCGCGCACAUUUGCUGCAUUUUUUGUGUGCAACGUCAUAUGUACUUACGAUGAUAACGAAUAGAUAGGAGGAGUCUUAAGACAAGAUUAUAUUGUAAAUAUUUAUUCUCAUCGCGGGUAAGUUACUUAAAUACGGCCCAAUGUAUUGCGCGCUGCAUUAUCAUCAACGAUUUAUUCCUGGAGUGUUGCUCUCGAUUCGAAACUAAACGUUUUAUGUAUUUUAGUUUCCAAAAAUUACGGUUAUAAGAAAUUUUAAAAGCAGUCCAAGGCUAAUUAUUUAAUUGAGUUAUCAUGACUGUAGAGCAUCAUCGCUGUAAUUGUGAUACAAGUGUUCGCGGUUAAAGCUUUUGGUGUUAACACGGAAUUUUUAUUCUUUUAUUUGUGUUUUGAGGGAUUACAAAUAUUUUAAAUAUAUAAAUCAAGAAUGAACGACACGUUUACUACCUACGAAGAAGGUUCACAACAUUCGUUUAGUAUUGUAAACAUUUUUAUAAUAUUAACCGGGUUAACAAAUAUAUUUGUAAAUUGCUUAAUUUUAUACGGUUUGAUAAAAACGAAGCUAUUUAGACCAGUCUACAUAGUGAUAAUUCACAUUGCAAUUUUCGAUAUAAUUGGACAAUUCUUUUGCCCUACAUUGUAUAAGUUGUUUACAAGAGACGAUGAUAUUUUUGAAGAUUUUCAAACUCAUGCGAUUUUUGGUAGUAUAUAUUUUGUAACUCUCUAUUUAAUAGCAUUGUUAAUGUUUAUAUUAUUACUCAGAGUACAGUUAGCUUGCGUUGAUAAGUAUUUUAUAUUCGUUCUGUCUGUUUAUUGGGUGUUGGCCAUAAUAAUAUUUGUUUUACUUCUCAUUUGCUAUAAGUUCAUGUUUUUGUUCAUACCGCCGUAUCUCGUGAUACUUGCUGUUUUAUUGGUUCACUUACAUAUUCAUCAAAUUAGGACAACAUUAAAAAUUAGUGAAUAUUCCGGUGUCGAUUAUCAAGUGUCCCUUUUGAUAGUUUUAAUAUUUAUUUCUAGUAGAUUGAUAACAAUCUUGUUUGUUCUAUUAGCAGAAUUAACGUAUAGAUUUACACCUGUACUAGGCGAUUAUUACUUUUUGGCAAUACUGCAGCUUGUUCCGAUAGCGAACUUUUUGAUUAUUAUGAAAUUUGAGGAAGGAUUUAAUAAUAAUAUUAAACGUAUAUUUAGGAUAAGAAGACUCGGCGGUAACACUUUCAGACCAUUACAAGAAGAGCAUGGAUUACCCGAAUAGUUUAAGUUAAUUUAUUUUAAAUAAAAAGUUUUAAUGAUAA